rnacentral:rRNA from 1 species
AGAGACAGCAGCAGCCGCGGUAAUACGUAGGGUGCAAGCGUUAAUCGGAAUUACUGGGCGUAAAGCGUGCGCAGGCGGUUAUAUAAGACAGAUGUGAAAUCCCCGGGCUCAACCUGGGAACUGCAUUUGUGACUGUAUAGCUAGAGUACGGCAGAGGGGGAUGGAAUUCCGCGUGUAGCAGUGAAAUGCGUAGAUAUGCGGAGGAACACCGAUGGCGAAGGCAAUCCCCUGGGCCUGUACUGACGCUCAUGCACGAAAGCGUGGGGAGCAAACAGGAUUAGAUACCCGCGUAGUCCCUGUCUCUUAUAA